rnacentral:rRNA from 1 species
UACGUAGGGUGCAAGCGUUAAUCGGAAUUACUGGGCGUAAAGCGUGCGCAGGCGGUUUUGUAAGACAGGCGUGAAAUCCCCGGGCUUAACCUGGGAAUUGCGCUUGUGACUGCAAGGCUGGAGUGCGGCAGAGGGGGAUGGAAUUCCACGUGUAGCAGUGAAAUGCGUAGAGAUGUGGAGGAACACCGAUGGCGAAGGCAGCCCCCUGGGCUGAGAUUGACGCUCAGGCACGAAAGCGUGGGGAGCAAACAGG